rnacentral:rRNA from 1 species
CGGACGGGUGAGUAACACGUGGAUAACCUACCUAUAAGACUGGAUAACUUCGGGAAACCGGAGCUAAUACCGGAUAAUAUAUUGAACCGCAUGGUUCAAUAGUGAAAGACGGUUUUGCUGUCACUUAUAGAUGGAUCCGCGCGCAUUAGCUAGUUGGUAAGGUAACGGCUUACCAAGGCAACGAUGCGUAGCCGACCUGAGAGGGUGAUCGGCCACACUGGAACUGAGACACGGUCCAGACUCCUACGGGAGGCAGCAGCU